UUUUUUUAUUAUUGAAAAGUUUAAACAAAAACAAUCAAAAAAAACUAAAUAUUUACAGGACUCUCCUGAAAUGUGUUAUGGUAGCCGGAAACAGAUUUUCACACCAUUUGUACUGUUUUUGUCUUCCUUUAAAAAAAAAAAAAAAAAAGUAUUUAUUUAUUUAUUUAACACUUUUGCAUCUUUUACGGUAAAUCAGUUAUUUUUUUUCUGUUUUAGUAUUGAUUGUAUUUUAUAAAACGCACUACACGAUUCACACAGAUUCAGUAAACCAGCUUUUUUGUCCUCUUUUUCUUUUUUUUUUCUUUUCUUUUUUUAAAACAAGUGGACAAAAGUUAAAACAGACAAGUUCAGGGUGGUGGUUAGUGUAACUCCACCCCCUCAGCAGCAGCAGCAGCAAAAAAAAAGGUCAAAGUUCACCUUCCAUCCUUUUUUUUUUUUUUUUUUUUGCAUCACGCAGAGCUGUCAGGAAGCAGUUCGUUCCCCACUUUUAAACCCCACAAUCACAGCUCUAGAUUUUGCUUCUUUUGUCCUGUUUAACAAAAUCGGGGGGGGGGGGGGGGAAUCUUUUUUUUUUAAAAUCAACACAGCACUUCAUUCUCCAAGGCAGAGUAGAGUUUCUCUCAACCCGACAUUCGAAGAGUUUCAAAAAAUAUAGAGCUCUGAGCAGCUUUCGAUAAAUCAUGCUGUUGUAGCAACACAUCAUAGGCGAAGAGUGUGAGAUUUAGUGACACCGAGUUGAUUUCAAAAACUACUGAAGCGAUAACGGAACAAGAUCUCCAGAUUUCUUUAUCCUCUCUGUGAUUUUUUUUUUUUUAUAAACAGCUUCGGCUCAAAAAAAAACAUUCAUUAGCAUAAAACCAGGAAAAAACGAAGAAGAAGAAAGAAAAGAAAAAAAAAAAAAAAAACCACGAUUUUUUUGCGCUUUCAAAACUGCAUCUUGUUUCAACUUCAGGAAGAUUGUAAAAUUGUGAAAGGAGCCAAAGCUUUAGCUGUUGUCUGAUUCGUCCUCGGCCUCGCGGAGCCAAGUGAAAAAGGCGGUGACUGAUUUGAGGGCGACGCCCUUUCCUUGUUGCUCGGCUGGAUCUUUGCUCGACUCCCACUUGUAGAAGCCGUCCUCCUUAAUGAUGUCCUCGUCGUAGAGCACGUCGAAAAACAUCCGCAGCAAGUCUAAACACACGUGCAAAAAAAAAAAAAAAACACA
ensembl:lncRNA